GCUCACUGACUUGAUUAUAGAGCUGCAGUAUUUUGACUGUACUAAGGUAGCAUAAUAAUUAGCUUAUUAAUUGUAAGCUGGAAUGAAGGGUUUGACAAGUUUUUACUUUUUUUAUUAAGAAUAUCGAAUUUGAAAUUAAAGUGAAAAUUCUUUAAUGCAUCUAAAAGACGACAAGACCCUUAGAAUUUUAUUUAAAUACAUAUUAGUUGAAUACUAUAAAAAUUAAAAUAGUAAAUUAGUUUAGUUGGGGCGACUUACAAGUAUAAGAAACCUUGUUUAAUUUGAAGUUUAUGUCAAAACGAGGAUCCUUUAUAAAAGACAUAGAGAAAUUACCUUGGGGAUAACAGCGUAAUUUAAUUUUUAAGACCAUAUUUGUAAUUAAGUUUGCGACCUCGAUGUUGGAUUAAGAUUAUUUUUUAGAGUAGCACCUAAAAAUACCUGGUCUGUUCGACCAAUAAGUUCUUAC
rnacentral:rRNA from 1 species